UACGGGGGGGGCAAGCGUUGUUCGGAAUUACUGGGCGUAAAGGGCUCGUAGGCGGCCAACUAAGUCAGACGUGAAAUCCCUCGGCUUAACCGGGGAACUGCAUCUGAUACUGGAUGGCUUGAGUUCGGGAGAGGGAUGCAGAAUUCCAGGUGUAGCGGUGAAAUGCGUAGAUAUCGUAAGGAAGACCAGUGGCGAAGGCGGGUCUCUGGACAGUUCCUGACGCUGAGGCACGAAGGCCAGGGGAGCAAACGGG
rnacentral:rRNA from 1 species